GGGAGAAGAGAAGAAGGGGGAGGGGGUAGACAACUGAUGGUUUGUGUUUUUUGAUUUUUUAAUAAUUAAUUAUUAAAUGAUUUUUAUUUUAAGUUUUUAAUAAUUUUUUAAUAAAAAGUGUGCCCCGUCUCAUGUCACGUCAGCAUUUAAUUGAGGAACUAACAGUCAACUGACGGAAUGUAUGACAUUGCAACAAGUUCGAAGAUAAGGUUGUAAACUUUGAUGACUAUAACCGAAGAACCUGUUACCAAAUGGUGACAUUCAAGGAACGUCAAUGCUACAUGAAAGGGUUUCCGAGUGUCGGGUUGAAAGCACAUGAAGGAAGGGGAAACCGAAGGGAGAUUUUUCAUUUUUGUUUUCUGAUCUUUUAUUAGCAAGCCUUUUGUUUGCAGUUCAUGUCUGUAAAAUUUUAUGAAUUGGAAUUGUCAAGCCUCUGCUGUUCAUAUCAACAUUUUUUUGUUAUUCAACAUCACCUUAAUAGCUAGAUUCCUAUAAUAUACAAA